CAAGCGAUUGCCUGGGCGUAAGCCAGGGGGGAAUUGGGCCCGGCCGCUGUCAUGAAAGACACCCAAGGGUUGAAAAGACCGUUCAGAAAGGGAUGUAAACUUUUAACGUCUUUGAGCCAUUGCUCCCCUUUCCUUCGGUAGGGUGAACGGCUGCCCCAAAUGCUCAAAAGUCAUGAGUCAAGCUUGAGGUGGGCUUUAAAAUCAUGAGACUAUGUAAAAAUAAGAGAUGUGGUGUUUUUAUUUGCCCUCUGCUUUUGGAGCCUUUUAGACGCACUGGGGGGGGGGGGGUGUCCACCGGUUUAAAGCUUUCCCCACAGCCGCAAGGCUAGCACUGUACCGUUUCCUUACGAGCCAAGGCUGACAUCAUCACAUAUUCACUCGACUCCAGGAGCUGGAGCUUUAAAGAAAACAAUAAUUAGCCUGAGACUCAGGACAAAAGCAUGCGAGUUGGCAAUACUGCAGAUGUGUUUAGUCUGUGCUGUAAGGGUUGGCUCCCAGUGUUGGAGAGCUUCUGGCCUUUGGAACUCGUCCCAGAGAUCUCAUGCAAUUGUAGCGGACGACUUGCUUUAGCUGACAUGUAGUCUCCGCAGGGCGAAACAGUAAUCGAUUGAGGGGCCAUAGCUUCUAAGGCAGCUUGGAGAGGGCCAGCACUGCUUUCAGGACCUUGGCAGGUGGACUGGAGUCCAUAUGACAGGAAGGGAAGCUGGAUAGAGGAUGUGCCUGAGCGUAUGCCCAGAAGUCCAGAGUUUAAAGAAGCAACUGGCCUCUGUUCCAGAGCCAGCAAAUCUAAGAACCCAUGGGAUCCAAGGCUUGGGUCCGGUACAGCUGCCUUGGUCUGCCAAGGUGUGCUCAGCUAGGGCUGUAAAAACCAUAUAAUAUGUGAUCAUUUUCUAACAUUUUUACUACAAAUGUGCAGAAGAAACAGGAAGCUGUUAAACCAUAAGCCCGUUCCUGUAGUUUGUUAAAUGAACAGUAACCAAAUCAGUGUUUUAAUUAGCUGCCAUUUCACAAAGUUGUUCCUUAAAUUAUUAAUUUACAUAUUUGUUCAAAGAUGUGGCACUGUAUCUAAUAUCUGGUCUGGUAUAUCAGAUUGCCAUAGUUAAUGUUGCUUUUAUUAAAGAUGAUUCUGGUAACAUUCUUAUUGCUGGAAAAUGUUUACAUUUACUAAAAACAUUCACAUUUACAGACUAAAUAUUCAAAGUUUAGAAAGCUGGAUCUCCGUCUCUGAUUUUGGUGUAUGCAAAUAAAAAAUACAGUCCACUAAGUUUCUAAUUUGAAAUAUUGUCUCUACUAACACAUUCUCUCUCAUAAAAACAAAAAAACCCUCUUUACUUUGUUUUCUAUUGCUCCUACUCCACAUACAAGUUCUGCUUGCCUUACUCUCAUGAGUAGUUCACUUUACCUAAAUAGAACUACUUGUAUGAGUCAGGUGAGUAGGCGGUUCUGAAUAUCCUAUACUGCACAAUAUUAUGCAUUCCUUCUAAAUGUACUAAAGCUUUUGUAUGUUGUAUUCUGAAUUUCAGGGAAAGGAAUGUUUCCUAUACAAGGCUGGGCUCUUACAACUACGUGUGGGCAGAACCCCACUCAAAUCAAUCACGGCUUGCAUGGAGCCAUUUGCAGGAUCACGGCCUUAGCAAGCGAAUGCUUCUGAGCUUUAUGGUUCUUCCUACUCCAGUGAUAUUCAUGGAAAACAAGAAUAAUGCAAUCCUAAAUAUAUACCACAGAAGAUUGAUGUGCAUAAGGAGGAAGAGGCGGCAGCUGGAGGACAUGCAACUGGAGGUUCAGCUAUGCUGCAAGCCAGGACCUGUUUGAGACUCCACCACAGUCUAGUCAGUCCUGGCAGUCGAGCACAGCUGUUGCUGUAGUGGCCUUGAGGGGUUCCCCCUCCACAUCUCCUGGAAUGCCUGAGCCAGAUAAGGAGGAGAAAGAAGAGGUCUUGAGAUGACAUGUUGAGCAAGAUCCUACAAGCUGGUGCUUCAUCAGACCACGAGCAGAGGGCCUGGAGGAUCAAUAGUGCAGACUAUAUGGAGAAGGAAAGAGUGGACAUGAGAGAGGCCCAGGAGUUCCAACAGGAAAAGGAGAGGGAGAUUCACCAGGACACAAUGGGGUUUUUCCAGCAGCAAACACAGAUGCUGCAGACUCUUGUGGACCUACAGGUUCAACAAUCAUGGGCUCGCCCCCCCUUUGCAAUCCCUAGAUAACUCAAUUUUAGUACCUCCCUACAUCCCCCUCAGUAUUCCAUGUGGCAUCAGGGGUUGCAUCCCUCUCACUCCAUGCUGGGAGACAGUUAGGACAACCACAGCUUCACACACAUUGACCGGUGAGAGCCAUGGUUGCUGUAGGGGUGUCCCCAAAAUGGAUGUUUUCCCUUGUUAAGUUCUGUUCCAUGUGCUGCAGAAUGCCUGGUGGUACUGAAAGCACCCAUUUACACGUUAUUGUACAGUAUGACAACUCACAGGAUCAGUGACUAAUAAUCAUAAAUGUACAGUGAGCACCACAAAAUGAAUAGGUGCAUUGACCGUGAUCUAUUCGUAGAUGCACCCCAAGCACUACACAAUUGCUAAAAGCCCUCAAAACUGCAGGGCCAGUUAGAUCACAGUCCAUCAUAACACAUUACUGUGGCUGGCUGCUAAAGUGCUUCUUCAAAGCCUCCCUGAGCCCUAUAGCUUUGCAUUGAGGUUUUCUAAUAGCCCUUGUGUCAGGCUGUUUGAACUCAGCAUAUAGCUGCUUCACCUGUGCCCUUCUCCCCUUUGCUUCACAAGAUACUGUGCAGGACACAACUGGUAGCUAUAACCAUUGGGAUAUUUUUUUCACUGAUAUCCAGUCUUAUGAGUAAACGGUGCCAGCAUCCUUUCAUUCUACCAAAAGUACAUUCAACUGUCAUUCUGCCCCUGCUGAGCUGGUCGUUGAAUCUUUCUUUGGUGCUGUCAUGGCAAGUAUAUAGCUUUAUGAGCCAGGGAAGCAAGGGUAGACUGAGUUCACCAGGAUCACCAUUAUUUCAACAUUGCCAAUGGUAAUACACCGGUUGGAAAAGGAAGUCCUGGCUUGCAGCUUUCUGAACAGUUCUGUGUUCUUAAAGAUCCACGUAUCAUGCACCUUCCCUGACCAGCCAUUAUUGAUGUCACUGAAGCAUCGCCGGUGAUACACCAAUGGUUGCAUAAUCAUAGAAAAGUAUCGCUUUUUGUUGACAUACUCUGUGGCAAGAUGGUCCAGUACCAAAAUAGGAAUACACGUGCUCCACUGCAGUUCGGGAACCACGUUGCUGCAACUCCAUCCACUAUGUCCUGUAUUGCCAAGAGUCACACUGCUGCAUAACAGGAGACUUUUAAUGGCCCCCACAAUGGAUUUUCCACUUUCAGAAUGUUUUCCCACUGACCAGAAUCAAUGCAAAGUUACAAGUUUCCAGAGUGCAGUCACCACUCAAUUCUCUAUUGUCAAUGCAGCUCUCAUUCUGGUGUCCCUGAACUGGAGGUCUGGGGUGAGUUUGGCAUAUAGAUCCAGGAAUGUGGCCUUGGAAGUUGUGCAUCUGAAAGUUUUGCAGCCACUUGUCGGCCAAAACCUGCCUUACAAUGCAACCCCAUCAGUCAGUGCUUGUUUCUGAGGGACAGAAGCGGCACUCCAACAUCUGCAGCUGCUCUGUGAAUGCUACCAACAACCUUGAAUUGGUUUUCGCUAUGUUCCAUAGCAGUGCUGGAGGAUCAUGUGUCCUCACAAUGCUCACAAGCUUCUGUCAGAGAUGGUGGACAAUAAGCAGGGUUACAUGGAUGUGUGAGAUUUUUUUUUAAAUGAUUGGAUAUGGAUGAUAUUAUGGGAUGGAGAAAGUUGCUUGCUGGGAAGUUAACCUCUAGCUCCCAGUCCCCCCUGCACGUUUCUGCCCCACCAUGCAUUGCCAAAACAUCC